UAUGUGAUCGUCUCUCGCAUAUCAAUAAGCGGAGGAAAAGAAACUAACAAGGAUUCCCCUAGUAACGGCGAGUGAAGCGGGAAGAGCUCAAAUUUGAAAUCUUAAAGGGUUUCCCUUUACGAAUUGUAGUUUAAAGAAGUGUUUUCUGUUGAGGUUUUGGUAAAAGUUCUUUGGAAUAGGACAUCAUAGAGGGUGAGAAUCCCGUAUUUGACCUUUACUUUCAACUUUGUGAUACACUUUCAAAGAGUCGGAUUGUUUGGGAAUGCAGUCCAAAAUGGGUGGUAAAUUUCAAUCUAAAGCUAAAUAUUGGCGAGAGACCGAUAGCGAACAAGUACCGUGAGGGAAAGAUGAAAAGAACUUUGAAAAGAGAGUUAAACAGUACGUGAAAUUGUCAAAAGGGAAGCGUUUGACACCAGUGUUGUUUUUCUGAAAAUCAAUUAAAGAACUGUUUAUGCUAAGUUGUUUAGACUUUAUCAGCUAACUGUUUAGUUUUGAGCUUUUCUUUAAUGCACUUUUCAGUUAACAAGUCAACAUCAAUUUCUUUUGCUGUAAAAAAGCUUGAGGAAGGUGGCUUGAGAUUCGUCUUAAGUGUUUAUAGCCUCUUGCCUAUGCAGUCGGAGAGAUUGAGGUCUGCAGCGUAGAUCCUUCGGGGCUAAAUGCAUUUGUGCUAAGUUAUAGCAUUUUAUAGACAACUUGUUGACUAUGAUUUGUCUCGUAGCUUACUCGCUUAUGUUAUUUUACCUACGCUUAGGAUGUUGAUCUACAGAGCGAGAGU
rnacentral:rRNA from 1 species